rnacentral:lncRNA from 1 species
CAUGCCUCCCUUGCUGGUCGUGGUGUGCUCCUCCAGCUCCCAUAUAAUUCCUCAUUUUGUGCCAUUUUUGGCUUUGGAUCACAAAAAGAAAUUUCCUCUCCCUCUUCCUUUAUGUUAACCAAGGACUAGAAGUAGUGUUGGUGCUCGCUCAACUAGGUUUAGGAGGCAAUUUAUUUUCUUUUUUUUCUGAGGAGGGCUGCUGCUAAAUUUCCUUGGCACCUUCCUGGCACGUUAGCAAAUUAAACAAUUGGUCGAGAGAAGGAAACGAUAUUUGCACAUUCAACUCUAUUUAUGGACCAACUAUGAAAAUAGUGCAGUUAACUUCAGGCAGCCGGUCAGUCCUCGAGCUUGAUUUUUGUGGAAUUUUGGAUGCGUAUGUGUAAAUUCAUUGGUCAAUUCAAUAAGGACCGACUGAAAUUAUACCCAAAAACAAAUUGCACACAGUCAUAUGAAUUUUGAUUUUUAGUGUUAGAUAACCAAACUUUGAAAAAGAACCCAGAAAAUGAUUCGAUCUGUUCUCUUUCCAAUCCAGUUAAUUAGGGGCUGUUUAGUUGGUGAAUUUUUUUUUGGUUGGCUACCGUAGCACUUUCGUUUGUAUUUGAUAAUUAUAUAUUGUUCAAUCAUAGUCUAACUAGCUAGGCUUAAAAGAUUUGCCUCGCAAAUUACAGGCCUAUAAUUUGCGAGGCGAAUCUUUUAAGCCUAGGUGAACUAUGCAAUUAGUUAUUUUUAUCUAUAUUUAAUACCCCAUGUGCUGCAAGAUUCGAUGUGACAAAGAAUCUUAAAAAUUUUGCAUAAAUUUUCAGGAACUAAACAGCCCUUUAAUAUACUGGGGCCGUGUUUAGUUUCUGAAGCGAAAAAUUUCGCGACACUAUAGUACUUUCGUUUGUUUGUGGUAAUUAUUGUCCAAGCAUGAACUAACUAGGCUUAAAAGAUUCGUCUCGUAAAUUCCGACCAAACUGUGCAAUUAAUUUUUAUUUUCGUCUAUAUAUGUGUCUAAAGAUUUGAUGUGACGGGAAAUCUUGAAAAAAUUUUAGAUUUUAGGUAGAAGUAAACAAGGCCUAGCUAGCAGUUUCCUAAAACGUGGGCCCAAAUUAGUCCAACUGGGGAGUCAAAGCUGUGUGUUCCCUGUUGCACUCACAAGCAAGACUGCGCGCAACAUAGUGGCAGG